UUUGUCGUAUGCCUUCUCCAGGUCGAUAAACACCAUGUGCAGAUCCUUCUUCCUCUCCCCAUUGGCUGAGACAAAAAAGUGGCGCCAACUUUUCACCAACUUUUGUACUUUGCGCCAGCUUGUGACAAUUGACAGUGAUAGUGACAGGUGAACCCAACCUGUUCCCUAAGUGGUAGCAGCUUUGUCAUCACAUAAUCUCUAGGAAACAGGUCCUAACAUACAAUUUGUCAAUCAUCAAAACUAAGGACUUAACAGUACGUUAUGGGAAGGGAUGGUGUUCAAAAGGAAGGUGAGUUAUGUGCUACAAUUAUCCCUUCAUCUUUGUGUGUUCCCAUUCUUCGUUAAGGACUUAAUGUGCUUGAAUCAACGAGUGAACCUUCUCAUGAGAAGACGUUAGAUGAAGUUGACUUGUGUGACACCUUUUUAUAUUAUUUGUUUGCAUAUGAUGAUACUUAUGCAUUUGAGUAGAAUAUGUUGUGUGAAGAUAAGUGUCAGUGGGGCAUAUGGGCCUUUGCUUAACCCAUUUCAUGGAAUCUUUCUCCAUUUGGCCCUGAUGAUGAAAUGGAAUGUGACAUUUAUAAUGUGUUGCUUGCUCAAGAUGACAAACGAGUUGUGACUUGGAAGAGUCAAUGGAUGUUCAAGAAUUCUUGUCACUUUCAUAGGGUUAGACAAUUUGAGGUAUCGAAUGGGACUCUUAGGAGCAUGCGUAAUAUCAUGAAUAGAGGGAGCACAACUUGUUGGGAGGACCAUUGAUUUUGGAUUGAAUUAAUUUCUAAUCGAUUCCUUAACACCUCAAGUGGCAUUACUCCAUUUGUGAACUCACUUCCUGUGGGAAAUUGUCUUGAAAGGAAGGGUAAUGUGUACCUAAAUGUCAUUAUUCCAUCCUUGGAUAUUCCAACUUGUAGUGAUUUUCUUGCUAGCUCUCGUGAGCAAGUUGGUACUUUUGUAUAUGGUAACAUGAUGGGGCUCAUAUUCUUGUUUCCUUUCUCUACUACCUAUUUGCAUAUGAUGCUGUGCAUUUUUAUAUUGGAUUUGUUUUAUAUAGAGAGGGGUUUCUUGGGUUGGUCCAUUUACUUUUGUGGCCAAACUAUGUGGGUCUCUCAUAUCUUUGACCCAAGUGAACCCUUAUGGGUGUUUGAACCAAUGGUGACACCACUUUUGGUAUGGUUUUAUGGUGGAACAGGGAAACAAUUAUGUCUUUGGACCUUUGUGGUUUCUGUUUCAUGAUAUUUCUCUUCGCCGGGUCCUUUGUACAUUGUACAAUGCAUUUCUCUUAUUGAACUCAAAAGCUUCUUGGUUGUAUUUCAAAUUUGUGCCUCCUUGGUAUGAUAAUAUUGGUGUUAACCCUUGUGCUAACCCUCAUACUAUGAGGAUUUCUUGGUUGCUUGUCCUUGGGGGAGGAUGAUACAAACAUAGUUAGCAUGGGGAACAUUAAAAGGGGCUUCUACAUAUGGAUGAUAGCUUGGAGUUCGGAGGAUGCUAUGGAGCAACAAAACUACACAGGCCUUGAGCGAUCAAGAUGUCACUUGGGCAAUCAAGAAGGGUCUUUAUGGGUUAUUUCCUAAAUAGCCACUUUUGUGUAAUUUUUGUAAUAGGUUAUUUGUGUAAAAGCAAUAAGUAUAAAUAAUUGCCUUAGCCAUUUUUCAUCCUUUGACUUAGAUGAAUAUUAAAUAUUGAGCUUUGAAGCUUGUAGUUUCUAGGUGAAGUCUAACAUUUACCUUGUAGUUUCUAGGUGAAACCUAGCAUUAGUGUUGUUCACAAUGAGUAAUUAGUGGUGGAAUCUUGGAAUUGUUGGGGAACUUCUUGGUUUGGUUAAUCGAAGGUUGCUCAUUUGUGGUUUUCUUUGAUUUUCUUAAACUAGGGUUUGUGUUUGAGUUUGUGAAAUCAAUUGGGAGGUGAGGGUUUUAGCCCUUGUUUCCCAUAAUUUCAAUAGCUUAGGUAUUAACCCACGUAUCCUUUUUCUUUGUUUCCUUUCUUUCUUGUUUGCUUCCUGAAUCAACAACUUAUCCUUUUCCAUUUCAUCGCCAUCAUCAUCAAGAUUAGUAACUUUUGGUUUGGAUAAUAUUUUGAUGUUUUAGGUUCUUUUUUCCCUCAACUUACACUUUUACUUGUUUUCUCCCAGCAUUCGGACACCUUUUACAUUGUUGUACAUCACUACUGUGAGAAAUAUAAGAGAAAAAUAUUAUUGAAUUAUUGAAACUACAUUAUUAUAUUGAGAUCCUAUUCAAGACACUACAUUUCAAUUCUUUUUGAAGUAGGACACAAUAUUAUAAUUUUUUUUCAAGUCUAGCACUCUCUCUCAAGCUGGUGUAUACAAGUCAUAUGUACUAAGCUUGUUAUGAAUGUAAUUAAUAUGAGGAUCAAUAAGAGACUUGGUGAAGAUAUCUGCAAGAAAACUGGUAAGGAUUGCUGGGAUGUGAUCACAGUUGAAAAGGAACAAAUUGGAGAAGUGGUUGGAAAAAUAGUAAACAUCGCUAGAAAGUCGAUUUGUCGCUAGAAAAUUGGUGGAAACUGGUAUAAAAUAUAUAGGUCAUUUCGAAAUCAAGAGAUGAGUAGAUCUCGAACAAGAAAGGCACCAAAAAACUAGCUGGAACAUGCCAAUGCAUUGGAUUAUUAGAUUUGACAACUGAAGAGUGGUUAAAAUCUGAGAAAAAUUAUAUUAGGUAGGGUCGGAAUGAUGGCACAACUCUACUGGAAAAGAGAUUAUAUAGGUAGGGUUAAAAUGAUGGAACGACCCUACUGAAAAAGAGAAAUUAUACGGAAACAACUUAUUUCACAUUUGAGGUAGUAGUAUGGACUGCGUAUACUUACCCUCCCCAGACCCCCCUUGGUGGGAAUGUACCGGGUAUGUUGUUGUUGUUGUUGUAGAGUCAAAAUGACGACACAAUCCUACUGAAAAAGAGAAAUUAUAUGGGUAGGGUCAGAAUAAGGACACACCCUACGCAAAUCAGAUCGAAGGAGUCACCAGAAAGAUGGACGGAACUUCACAAACCAGAUCUGAGAAAUCAUCGGAAAGAGGCACGGUGUUAUGCAACUCAGAUAUGAGAAAGUUGUCCGCAAAGAUGCACGAUAAUGCGCAAAUUAAAUGUGAGAAGUAGUCUGGAGAUAUGCACGAUGCUAUGCAAAUCAGAUAUGCGAAAGUAGUCCCACAAAGAUGCAUGGUUCUACACAAAUCAGAUAUGAAAAAGCAGUUACCGGAGAGAAGCAUAGUGCCCAAGUCUCUUGCUAACAUGAUCAUUGACUAGGUGGGCGACAUAUAUGGGUUAUAGCCGUCUGUUGGCAGCGGAAGCUCUUCGAUUCUCUACCAAGAUCGUAGAGGCUCUGAUACCAUGUGAGAAAUAUAAGAGAAGAAUAUUAUUGAAUUAUUGUAACUACAUUAUUACCCUGAGACCUUAUAGAUACUAUAUUCCAAUCCUUUUUCAAGUAGGAUUCUGCAGGAUUCUGCAGUUAUUUCUUCUCCGAUGCAUAUUCUAACAACUACAAUUACCAAUAAGAUGUUUAUGACCAAAAAUUCCGUCAUUAAACGUCAAGCCACAAAAAUACAUGUAACUUUGUUCCUAUUGAUCUAACUUGCCUUUUUACCAUAUUUUCAAGCCGGAUCAGACAUUUAGAAUCUCUGUAAAGAAAUCAUAAGAAACAAUUCAAACAAAACUAGCAACGAAAAGAAGGAAACAAAGCAGUAGAAAACUGAGGAAAACUGAAAAAGAUAAUUGAGGAAAAAAACUGAGCAGCAGUAGGAAACCAGAGCAAAACAGUAUAGAAGAAGGAAGAAGAACAGAAGUGAAAAAAAAAUAAGAAGAAAAGAAACAUUGAAGUCGUAGCAGUGAAGAGCAGCAAAACAGAGAAGGAAAAAGAAAGAAGAAAGAAGUAGACGGAAGAAAAUUACCUCAAAAUCGCACUGAAGAAGAGAAGUUGCAGCAGCAGUGAAGUCGCGACUCUUCUUCAGAGCUAACCCUAAAAGAUUGCAGAAGUGAAGAGCAACAGUGAAGUAGACUCUUUUGUUAACUUUAAAAUUGACCUAACUCUUUUAUUUUUUUAUUUAAAAAUGGCCCUACAAAUAUAAUCAACACGAUGCGAGUGCAUCAGUGCGCAUCUCGCAUCAGUGGGUUAUGCGCUCGCUUUUGUAAGAUGGCCUCGCAUCUGUUACUUGCAGCGACAAAGCUUCGCUUCGCAUCAGCGCAUUAUACAAUGAUGCGCUCGCAUUCCAGAACACUGCACUGCAUUGAGCUGCUUCUCCAAGUUGUGACAAGAGCAACAUCCUUAGUCUUAUUGCACCCUCUGACACAUUGAUCUAUUUAGACAAUGCGCGGACAGUCAAACACAAGCCUGCUGAACACCCUUUAUUUGCCAGCAUCUAAAACUUUAAUGGCGUCAUGGAAAAUGUUGCUGCCCCCAUGAAGGGCGUGUGGGUUGAUUGCAUUCACAUACCCAAAGUUCACUAGCACAGGACCAUCCUCGACCAGAAUGCCGAAAGAGUUAUCUGGAAUUUCGGCCAUCGUACUGGAACACAAACUAACAAAUUAAUUGGUCCAAAGUCCAUAACACAAAUAACAAACUAAGACUAGAUGACUAAUUGGUUCUCGACAACAUCGCUAUGCGUAAGACGGUGCUAAUUAUCUUUUUAAGGUGAUUUUAAUUAAAUAAUACUAAAAGCUCCAAAUAUAAGCUAACAAUUAAGAAAGUGUAGUAAAGAUAGAUUGUAAUCAAUUUGAAAGAAAUUAAUGAUUCCACUGCUUCUAUGCCUUCGUUCAACUUUGUUAAUUCGUGUCGAUUAGUAAUUAGUAGGCUACCCUUGCUCAUACUCCAUGGUCUCCCGACUUAUACGUAGUUUUACUUGAUUCGUAUUCCUAUUCCUUAAGCAUGCAGUAGUGACUAUUCCAGCAAAUUAUUGAGAUGAGAUAAACUACUUCGAGAGCCCCAAUUCCUUCGGAAAUCUAGCCAAUCUGCUAGUUGAAUCAAACCCUUGAUUCAUUCUUCUUUAUAAGAUUGAAAGGGCACAACGAAGAUUGUGCAUUCCCUCGAUUAUAGCGGUUUAAUACAGAUUCAAUUAGAAUAAGUAAAAUUUCAAUACUUUAUGCCUCAAAAAUAUCAAGAAAUAAACAAACAUUUGAAUUGAGCCCUAGAUAGGUGUUGACCCGUUCAUGCUAAGAUUAACACAUACAAAUAAACACCAAGAACUCAUCAUUUUUUUUUUUGGAUAAUCGUGGUGUCUGGGACUGCUUUUGCGCACCUCGAGUAAAUCCACGGGAUACCUAUCACCUCCCACCAGCAAUAGAUAUCAGGUAACUCUGUCCAUCAAGGCUAGGACAAACGGAAAGAAUCACCUAGUGUUUUUUGUCUCCGCUGGGAUUCAACCCUAAGAUCUCUGGCUCUCAACCCACUUUAUUGACCACUAGGCCACACCCUUGGGUAGAACUCAUCGUAUUAAUCACGAGAAGAAACGAAAGAGGUUAGAAGGCAAACACAAGAGUGAAUUUCUCUGGACUCGUGUUUCUUUUCUCUACAAAAUGUGCAUUUCUCACAGGUCCUCUAUGUGGGAUGCAGACAACUUCACACAACUUCACUUGGCCUUGGCAAUUUCCAGGACUUUUUCUUUGGUGUACCCCGUGGUAUCGCAUAAGUCUCUGCUGGACGCAUAGAUGGGACCUCUGUUGGCAGCAUAGAUAGGCGCUUUGCUGGAUGCAUAACGCUACGUCACACCACAUACUUCACAAGUUUCAAUCUUGAGGCUGAUUUCAUCAUUUUCUCUCUUUUUUUUCGUUUUCUUUUCAUCAUUUUUAGCCUCAGCCGUGUCUAUUUCACCACAAACUUGAAACAUGACUACUUCCGUGUGAUUGAGCAUAAAUAUAUCCUAGAAGAAGUACAAAAGUGUAAGUAAUUGAUGCUGAAUAAGUGGUGAAAUCACACUUAUCAGAGGCCAUGGUCUAAAGUUUCAUCUUUAGUUUGAAAAUGAACUCUAAACAUGAUAUACGUGUUCCAUAGUCAGUUAUUAUAUUUGGGACUAGAUUUAUGUCUGCUGGCGUGAUGUUCCAAUAUUGUGAUAACUGGUAUAUUUCAACUCUCAAAUCCUGAGUUCUUUAUUAAUUAUGCAGGUCCAUCCAUCUUCUGUGCUAAAUCCAGAUGAGGAUGGGAUGCUUCCAAACUAUGUCGUCUAUCAUGAAUUAAUAGUUACUUCACGCCCAUUUAUGCGUAAUGUAUGUGCAGUUGAGAUGCGAUGGGUUGCACCAAUUAUAGCGAAGCUUGAGAAACUAAAUGUAUCCAAACUGAGUGGGGGAUCUAGCCAGACUGAUAAGCAAAUUCAAGAAGUAACUUCAACUGUGGAAAAAAAAGAACUUGCUGCAAUUCAGUCACCCGAAGACUGUGACAACAGGAUACAAGCUGCUCGGGAAAGAUUUCUUGCUCGGAAACGUCAAAAGUAGCAUAACAGUGGUUGCUCGACAGACGAAUCGGUUAUGUAUAUGGACCGUCUUUGCCACAAAAUUGUUUUCUCCCAUUUGAUGCAGAAAUCUGGUCCAUCUGAUUCAUGAGUGACGCCAAAUGUGUCUUAAGAAUGGGCAGACGAAUUAUAUACCUUUGUCAGCCUUUUGAGUAUGAUCAAGUUUAGUGUAUAUUUUAAUCAGUAUAAUAUCUGAUACGUGGGCCAUUGACCACAAGAUAUUAACUAGAAUGGUCAGAUGUAUGCUUGAUCUCAACUUCUAUGGGAAAAGAGCACAACGGUUGAAUGUUUUCAAAGUGGAAAGGCCCUUUAAGAAACAAUCAAAUUGAUGAGGAAGCAAGCAAGUUAUAUUAUAACGGUUACAAUAACCUUCUUGUGGUUUGAGUG